rnacentral:RNase_P_RNA from 1 species
CGAGCCGGGCGGGCGGCCGCGUGGAGUCCCUUCAGGGGCUUCCCGAGGAACGUCCGGGCUCCACAGGGCAGGGUGAUGGCUAACGGCCACCCGGGGUGACCCGCGGGACAGUGCCACAGAAAGCAGACCGCCCAGCGCUUCGGCGCUGGGUAAGGGUGAAACGGUGGUGUAAGAGACCACCAGUGCCCAGGGCGACCUGGGCAGCUAGGUAAACCCCACCCGGAGCAAGGUCAAAAGGGAGUCUCUUCCAGGGAAAGGAAGGAGCCUCCUGCGCGGACGCUUGAGGGCUGCUCGCCCGAGUCCGCGGGUAGACCGCACGAGAUCGGUGGCAACGCCGGUCCUAGAUGGAUGGCCGUCGCCCAGGGCUUCGCGAGGAGCUCUGGGAACAGAACCCGGCGUACAGCCCGACUCGUCUG